rnacentral:lncRNA from 1 species
UUACCGUCAAGUCAUGCUUGCAAGCAUCUGAAGUGAGAGUUGACUCGAUUACAUGACACCUAAACAGAGAUAAUCUGCUCGCAAUCAGUUGAUGAAGGACUGACCUGUACAUUUGACAUUAAGCCUUCAUUGGUAAACUACAGAUUGAUGCAACCUUUUGCAUUUAUUCACAUGAUCAUUUAACCCUAAACUGCCACUGGUCCAUGACUAACUUCCAGUGCCCCCGGUCCAAACUGGCUGUUUCUCUGUGCUCUCUGUCUGCCUUAUUUGUGAAUUAACGUCCUACUUUCCUCCCUGCGUUGGCCCCCUGCUGAGUGGUUUGAUUGAUGGUCCAACAGCCUCAGUGUUUCUCCAGCUGCCUUUAGUCUUAGCAAAGCUGGAUAUAGUCAUCAGCUCCAAGAUGCUCUACACCUGAUCUGUCUGAGUGGGCACGCGAAGAGAGUGACCCUGUAUCCGUAGCGUGUUUGGGUGGAUCCAUCUGAGGGGCACGGUGGAUGAGAUAUGGCUGGGCUAUAGAGGGAGAACACAAGGUCCCUUCUGUGACUCCGUCUGGACCUGAACUCUUGAAGACCAGUAGUUCUGAGAUUCCCAAGUACACCUCUCCAAAUUGGUCUGACUGAACAAUGCCUUUUUUUCCUUUGUUACUGAACAAAUAUUUUCAUAAUAG